AACUGAUGGCUCAGUUGGUAGAGCAUUGUGCUACCAACGCAAAGGUAAUGGGUUCAAACCCCAGGGAAA